UACGUAGGUGGCAAGCGCUGUCCGGAUUUACUGGGCGUAAAGAGCGCGCAGGCGGUCGGAUCAGUCGAAUGUGAAAGCCCCCGGCUCAACUGGGGAGGGUCAUUCGAUACUGUCCGACUCGAAGGCAGGAGAGGGAAGCGGAAUUCCCGGUGUAGUGGUGAAAUGCGUAGAUAUCGGGAGGAACACCAGUGGCGAAGGCGGCUUUCUGGCCUGUUCUUGACGCUGAGGCGCGAAAGCUAGGGGAGCGAACGGGG
rnacentral:rRNA from 1 species